rnacentral:tRNA from 1 species
GGUCUGUUAGUGAAGUGGUUAUCACGCUAGCCUGUCACGCUGGUAUCACGGGUUCAAAUCCCGUACAGACCGCCA